rnacentral:lncRNA from 1 species
UCUCUCUCUAUUUCUUCAGUCAUCACAUCUAGGCUGAAUCGUCUUUCAAAGAUAAAAGGGAUAUGUCUUUUCUAAACUUCUAUAUCCCCUUCAAACUUCCUUUCUUAGAUCUGUGCUCCAGAAGCUAAUUGUACCAUCUCAUUAACAAUCAUGUUUGAUUUUCUGGGAAUAUGGCUAACUGAUACUUCAGUGCCCCAAUAGCUCAAUAGUUGUGUAGAUGCCAAAUAGUAACUUGCCAUGGUGAUGUGUCUGCACUUGUAUUCUCCAUUUAACUAAUUGAUCACAAAUUCUGAAUCACCAAACACCUCAACUUCAAUUGCCCCCAACUCUAUCAAAAUUUCCAGGCCAAUUAUCAAUGCUUCAUAUUCUACCCGAUUGUUGGUAGUCUCUUGAUAAUCCAGAAGGAAUGAAUAGCAAUGGUGAGUACCCCUGGGAUCAAUGAUGACAAUCCUAGCUCCCACAACAGUUUGAGUGCAAGAACCAUCAAAAUACAGUCUCCAAUAAGUGAUCCAGAAGCUAGUUAUUCUUUUUAUUUCUUGUUGGACCUAUUCUUCUCUGCCUGAGAAGACUUUGCUUGGUGGGAUCCAUAUAUUGGCUACCUCCAAAGUUCCUAGGAUAUUGAUAAUCUCUUCUUGAGACUCCUGGUGCUCAGCCAAGAAGUCUGCAAUGGCUUAUCCCUUGAUCGCUCUUUAAGGCACAUAUUGAAAGUUGA